UACGUAGGGUCCGAGCGUUGUCCGGAAUUACUGGGCGUAAAGAGCUCGUAGGUGGUUUGUCGCGUUGUCCGUGAAAACUCACAGCUCAACUGUGGGCGUGCGGGCGAUACGGGCAGACUGGAGUACUGCAGGGGAGACUGGAAUUCCUGGUGUAGCGGUGGAAUGCGCAGAUAUCAGGAGGAACACCAAUGGCGAAGGCAGAUCUCUGGGCCACUACUGACGCUGAGAAGCGAAAGCAUGGGGAGCGAACAGG
rnacentral:rRNA from 1 species